rnacentral:lncRNA from 1 species
AGAAUAAUUCGAUUUAUGAAAACCUAAUUUUGGCAUUUUUAUACAGUUGUGUUCAUUUAUGAAACGGGAAAAACUUUCAUGGAAUAUAAAAGUCUCCUGCUAAAGCAAGUCAAGUUUAAUCGAAUACAUCGUAUAUUAGAUCAAGAUAUUUGCACAAUUGAUCAACUUCGCCAAUUUUUCCUGAUCUGGAUAUCUUUAAGUGGCCUUAUUUAAUAUGAGCGAUGAUUCCUGAUUACCUAAGCCCCAUUAAAAAAAACACGACAAUUAAUUGAUUUGAGCUAAUAUCAAAAGUUAUUUGAUUUUAAAACAAGGAAAACCAAAAUGUGAUCCUGUGUGGCGCCAGGACAUAGCAAACAUUUUUCGGCAGAAAAUAGUUUCACAUUUUAAAUUUUAACACUAUUUUACGUCUUCCAUUUAUUCGAAUCUCUCUUCGUUUACGACAUAAAAAAUAAAUCUCCAUCAUAUCAUUCAGCAAUUUAAAUUUAACGAAAGUGAUGUACCUAUAGAUAUUUUUCAAACAGAUUACAACUGUUUUUGAUAAAACAAAUAAACGUUACAGAAUUACAUAUC